GGUCCCGAGCGUUGUCCGGAUUUAUUGGGCGUAAAGCGAGCGCAGGCGGUUUGAUAAGUCUGAAGUAAAAGGCUGUGGCUUAACCAUAGUACGCUUUGGAAACUGUCAAACUUGAGUGCAGAAGGGGAGAGUGGAAUUCCAUGUGUAGCGGUGAAAUGCGUAGAUAUAUGGAGGAACACCGGUGGCGAAAGCGGCUCUCUGGUCUGUAACUGACGCUGAGGCUCGAAAGCGUGGGGAGCGAACAGGAUUAGAUACCCUGGUAGUCCACGCCGUAAACGAUGAGUGCUAGGUGUUGGGUCCUUUCCGGGACUCAGUGCCGCAGC
rnacentral:rRNA from 1 species